CCUACGGGUGGCAGCAGUGAGGAAUAUUGGUCAAUGGGCGGGAGCCUGAACCAGCCAAGCCGCGUGAAGGAAGAAGGUACAGCGUAUCGUAAACCUCUUUUGUCAAGGAAUAAAGGCGGGGACUAGUCCCCGGUUGAGGGUACCUGAAGAAUAAGCAUCGGCUAACUCCGUGCCAGCAGCCGCGGUAAUACGGAGGAUGCGAGCGUUAUCCGGAUUUAUGGGGUUAAAAGGGUGCGCAGGGGGCCUGUUAAGUCAGUGGUAAAAGCCCGGGGCUCAACCUCGGCGAGCCAUUGACACUGGCGGGCUGGAGUUGAGGUGAGGAACGCGGAAUGCGCGGUGUAGCGGUGAAAUGCUUAGAUAUCGCGCAGAACCCCGAUUGCGAAGGCAGCGUACCGGCUCCACACUGACGCUGAGGCACGAAAGCGUGGGUAUCGAACAGGAUUAGAUACCCCAGUAGUC
rnacentral:rRNA from 1 species